GGGGGACGGUUUCCGGGAAUUUUUGGGCGUAAAGCGCGCGCAGGUGGUUUCUUAAGUCUGAUGUGAAAGCCCACGGCUCACCCGUGGAGGGUCAUUGGAAACUGGGAGACUUGAGUGCAGAAGAGGAAAGUGGAAUUCCAUGUGUAGCGGUGAAAUGCGUAGAGAUAUGGAGGAACACCAGUGGCGAAGGCGACUUUCUGGUCUGUAACUGACACUGAGGCGCGAAAGCGUGGGGAGCAAACAGGAUUAGAUACCCUGGUAGUCCACGCCGUAAACGAUGAGUGCUAAGUGUUAGAGGGUUUCCGCCCUUUAGUGCUGAAGUUAACGCAUUAAGCACUCCGCCUGGGGAGUACGGCCGCAAGGCUGAAACUCAAAGGAAUUGACGGGG
rnacentral:rRNA from 1 species